rnacentral:rRNA from 1 species
AUUGAACUCUGGCGGCAGGCCUAACACAUGCAAGUCGAGAGGAGCGGCUGACGUGUGAGUAAUGCCUAGGAAUCUGCCUGGUAGUGUGGGAUAACGUCCGGCAACGGGCGCUAAUACCGCAUACUAUCAGAUGAGCCUAGGUCGGAUUAGCUAGUUGGGGGGGUAAAGGCCUACCAAGGCGACGAUCCGUAACUGGUCUGAGAGGAUGAUCAGUCACACUGGAACUGAGACACGGUCCAGACUCCUACGGGAGGAAGCAGUUGGGAAUAUUGGACAAUGGGCGAAAGCCUGAAUCAGCCAUGCCGAGUGUGUGAAGAAGGUCUUCGGAGUGUAAAGCACUUUAAGUUGGGAGGCGUUACCAACAGAAUAAGCACCGGCUAACUUCGUGCCAGCAGCCGCGGUAAUUC